AGCUCCAAUAGCGUAUAUUAAAGUUGUUGCGGUUAAAAAGCUCGUAGUUGGAUUUCUGUCUGGAACGGGCGGUCCGGCCCUAGGCCGUGUAUCUGUCUUAUCUAGGCAUCCUCAUGAAGAUCGUCGCUGUGCUUCAUUGCGUGGUGCGGAAUUCAUGACUUUUACUUUGAGGAAAUUAGAGUGUUCACGGCAAGCAAUCGCUUUGAAUACAUUAGCAUGGAAUAAUAAUAUAGGACCUUGGUACUAUUUUGUUGGUUUCUAGAACUAAGGUAAUGAUUAAUAGGGACAGUUUGGGGGCAUUCGUAUUAACGCGUCAGAGGUGGAAUUCUUGGAUUGCGUUACGACGAACUACUGCGAAAGCAUUUGCCAAGGAUGUUUUCA
rnacentral:rRNA from 1 species